rnacentral:rRNA from 1 species
AUUGAACGCUGGCGGCAUGCCUUACACAUGCAAGUCGAACGGCAGCACGGGUGCUUGCACCUGGUGGCGAGUGGCGAACGGGUGAGUAAUACAUCGGAACAUGUCCUGUAGUGGGGGAUAGCCCGGCGAAAGCCGGAUUAAUACCGCAUACGAUCUACGGAUGAAAGCGGGGGCCCUUCGGGCCUCGCGCUAUAGGGUUGGCCGAUGGCUGAUUAGCUAGUUGGUGGGGUAAAGGCCUACCAAGGCGACGAUCAGUAGCCGGUCUGAGAGGACGACCAGCCACACUGGGACUGAGACACGGCCCAGACUCCUACGGGAGGCAGCAGUGGGGAAUUUUGGACAAUGGGCGAAAGCCUGAUCCAGCAAUGCCGCGUGGGUGAAGAAGGCCUUCGGGUUGUAAAGCACUUUUGUCCGGAAAGAAAUCCUUGGCCCUAAGACGGUCGGGGGAUGACGGUACCGGAAGAAUAAGCACCGGCUAACUACGU